AACGAACGCUGGCGGCGGGGUUUAGGCAUGCAAGUCGAGCGAGAAAGCGCAAGCUGAGUACAGCGGCGUAAGGGUGAGUAAUAGGUAGUCAACGUACCGGGCAGACGCGAAUAAUUUCCCGAAAGGGAUUGUAAUGCGCGAUGAGAUCACGGGCACCACGGUGCAUGGGAUCAAAGGUCGGGGAUCCUUCGGGACCUGGCGCUGUCUGAGCGGACUACCUCUGAUAGCUAGUUGGCGGGGUAACGGCCCACCAAGGCGAUGAUCAGUAGCCGGCCUGAGAGGGUGUCCGGCCACACUGGGACUGAGACACUGCCCAGACUCCUA
rnacentral:rRNA from 1 species